rnacentral:rRNA from 1 species
UUAUAAAAAUUUAAAAUUAAUUACUUAAAAAUUAAUAGUUAAGUUCUUUAAAUUUAAGAGAUUUGGCGGUAUUUUAGUCUUAUUAGAGGAACCUGUAAUUUUAUUGAUAAUCCACGAUUAAUUUUACUUAUUUUAAAAAUUCAUAUAUCGCUGUCAUGAAUAUAUUUAAAAAUUUAUUUUCUUUAAUUACUUUAAUGAUUUAUGUUAAGUCAAGAUGUGGUUUAUAAAUAAGUUAAUUAUGGGUUACAAUAAAUUUAAUUUUUGGAUUUAAAAUGAAAAUAAUUGAUGAAAUUGGAUUUAAUAGUAAUUUUAAUUAUUUAAUUAAUAUGAAUAAAGAUCUGAAAUAUGUACAUAUUGCCCGUCAUUCUUAUUAAAAAUAAGACAAGUCGUAACAAAGUAAGUGUACUGGAAAGUGUACUUAGAAAAA